AGCACUACCUUCAACUUUCUUCGCGAUGACUUAUGGAGAAAGACAUUUUUUGAAAGAAUUAACCGUUGGACCCAAAAAUGUUUUCGAAUUGUUUUUAGACGAAAAUAGCUUAUCUUAAGUGCAACUAAUCGAAUAUGUGACAUGAUAAGUAACAAGAUUAUACCCAAUUUCCUGCAGUAUAGGUAUAUAUAGCAAUGAAUUACGGUAGACAGACAGAAAGGUGUUCAGCAUGAAAGGUCUCAUUAUUUGUACUCUUUUGGUAUUGGCGUUUGUUGCCUUGUCAAUGGCUGACUGCAGCGGACAAAAGACGAAAGAGAAUUGUACCUGUGAAUUAUGGCUUAAAGAGUGUCCUGCAGGAUCUGAACAAUGCGACAUUAAGGCCGACAAUCCUUGCUCAAUCGUUUUCAGAACCUGCUGUAAACCUUGAAUCCAAGAUGGUGUUACCGCUACAUUAAUUAAUUCAAUUAUUUCUGUUAUUAUACAGUAUCAAUAAAAUUGUUUGAAUUAU